AAUCCCAAUAAAUUUCAUUCACUCCGCAUACUCAAUCCUAUAGACACCCUUUUAAUUCUUCAAUCACAGACAUAACUCGAUUUCACAAAACAGUCAAGAGUAAUCAAACCCACUUCAUUAAAAAAUCCUGAUUCACCAUUACAACACUGACUUCAGCAACGAUUGCCUCAGUCUUCCCAAAACCCUAUGAAGAAGAAAAAUCCAAUUCUCCG
rnacentral:lncRNA from 1 species